CAGCAGCCGCGGGAAUACGUAGGGUGCGAGCGUUAAUCGGAAUUACUGGGCGUAAAGCGUGCGCAGGCGGUUAUAUAAGACAGAUGUGAAAUCCCCGGGCUCAACCUGGGACCUGCAUUUGUGACUGUAUAGCUAGAGUACGGUAGAGGAGGAUGGAAUUCCGCGUGUAGCAGUGAAAUGCGUAGAUAUGCGGAGGAACACCGAUGGCGAAGGCAAUCCCCUGGACCUGUACUGACGCUCAUGCACGAAAGCGUGGGGAGCAAACAGGAUUAGAUACCCCGGUAGUCCCUGUCUCUUAUAC
rnacentral:rRNA from 1 species